AACCAACAUUUUACCAAUUUUCUUUGCACCAGACAAUACCUGAAGAUUAGCAUGAGUACCGCGUUUGGAGACCCACUCAAAGAAUACAACUUCCUUCUGUCGAUUCUUGUGAUAAAUCUUCAGGCAGUUCUGAAAUCUGUUAAGCUCUG